ACAACGGAUCUCUUGGUUCUGGCAUCGAUGAAGAACGCAGCGAAAUGCGAUAAGUAAUGUGAAUUGCAGAAUUCAGUGAAUCAUCGAAUCUUUGAACGCACAUUGCGCCCCUUGGUAUUCCGAGGGGCAUGCCUGUUCGAGCGUCAUUUCAACCCUCA
rnacentral:rRNA from 1 species